UAUGGCGGGCUGUGUACGGGACACCUACGGGUGUGCCGAUUUCCGAAGGUAUCGGUCUGCCAACCUGUGCACAGUUCCGCCUCCC
rnacentral:antisense_RNA from 1 species